rnacentral:rRNA from 1 species
AGAGCGAACGCUGGCGGCAGGCCUAAUACAUGCAAGUCGAACGGAUCCUUCGGGAUUAGUGGCGGACGGGUGAGUAACACGUGGGAACGUGCCCUUUGGUUCGGAACAACUCAGGGAAACUUGAGCUAAUACCGAAUGUGCCCUUCGGGGGAAAGAUUUAUCGCCAUUGGAGCGGCCCGCGUCUGAUUAGCUAGUUGGUGAGGUAAAGGCUCACCAAGGCGACGAUCAGUAGCUGGUCUGAGAGGAUGAUCAGCCACACUGGGACUGAGACACGGCCCAGACUCCUACGGGAGGCAGCAGUUAGGAAUCUUGCGCAAUGGGCGAAAGCCUGACGCAGCCAUGCCGCGUGAAUGAUGAAGGUCUUAGGAUUGUAAAAUUCUUUCAGGUGGGAAGAUAAUGACUGUACCACAGAAGAAGCUCCGGCUAACUUCGUGCCAGCAGCCGC